GAUGAACGCUGGCGGCGUGCCUAAUACAUGCAAGUCGAGCGAAGCGAGGACGGGUGAGUACUACGUGUCUAACCUCCUUUAAGACUGGGAUCCCUUCGCGAAACCGGAUCUAUACAGGUUACUUAUUUAUGUUUCCUCGCUGCAUUGGCUAGUUGGUAAGGUAACGGCUUACAAAGGCAACGAUGCAUAGCCGACCUGAGAGGUGGAUCGGCCACACUGGAACUGAGACACGGUCCAGACUCCUACGGGAGGCAGCAGUAGGGAAUCUUCCGCAAUGGGCGAAAGCCUGACGGAGCAACGCCGCGUGAGUGAGGAAGGUCUUCGGAUCGUAAAACUCUGUUAUUAGGGAAGCGGUACCUAAUCAGAAAGCCACGGCUAACUACGUGCCAGCAGCCGCGGUAAUAC
rnacentral:rRNA from 1 species